CCGGACGGACCGCCGAAUCCUGCCGCCGCCCGGAAUUCGUAUCGUCAAGCAACGCGUGGCAGGAGCGGGGGACCCAGGUAGUACGCCGGUCCGGAAACUCCGGAACGGCUUGGGGUGAAGUCGCGCGACAAUCGCGACCGGGCAUCUCCCGCCCGAACCCGACAGCUCACCUCGCAGGCGCCGGAGAGGAAUU
rnacentral:sRNA from 2 species